CUAAAAUGAUCACAAACGCUUCAAAAUGGCAACCAAAACCAGACAGGCGUGGAAGAAAAUGGAAAACCACCAUUCGAAUGGAUCGAAGAAUAGCCAGAAUGGCAAAGACUCAGUCAAUGAUCAGCUUCAGGGUGAUCACAGAAGGUCUAAAGUUACCUGUGAGUACUGUA